rnacentral:rRNA from 1 species
AUUGAACGCUGGCGGCAUGCCUUACACAUGCAAGUCGAACGGUAACGGGCCUUCGGGNGCCGACGAGUGGCGAACGGGUGAGUAAUGCAUCGGAACGUACCUUUCAGUGGGGGAUAACGUAGCGAAAGUUACGCUAAUACCGCAUAUUCUGUGAGCAGGAAAGCAGGGGAUCGCAAGACCUUGCGCUGAUUGAGCGGCCGAUGUCAGAUUAGCUAGUUGGUGAGGUAAAGGCUCACCAAGGCGACGAUCUGUAGCGGGUCUGAGAGGAUGAUCCGCCACACUGGAACUGAGACACGGUCCAGACUCCUACGGGAGGCAGCAGUGGGGAAUUUUGGACAAUGGGCGCAAGCCUGAUCCAGCCAUGCCGCGUGAGUGAAGAAGGCCUCGG